UAAGUAAGCGGAGGAUAAGAAACUAAAUAGGAUUCCCUUAGUAAUGGCGAAUGAACAGGGAUCAGCUCAGCAUGGAAAUUGGGGCCCUCGGCCUUGAAUUGUAGUCUCGAGAUGUAUCGCCAACGGAGGCGCAGAUGUAAGCCUCUUGGAAAGGAGCAUCAACGAGGGUGAGAGUCCCGUUUGUCAUCUGCAGUCCCCCGUGCACGGCAUACCUUCUAAGAGUCGCGUUCCUCGGAAUUGGAGCGUAAAUUGGGUGGUAAAUUUCAUCUCAAGCUAAAUAUUGGUUCGAGACCGAUAGCAAACAAGUACCAUGAGGGAAAGAUGAAAAGGACUUUGAAAAGAGAGUUAAAAGUGCCUGAAAUUGCUGAAAGGGAAGCGAAUGGAACCAGUGUUGCUUGGCAGGAUUGUCGGGUGCAUGACGCUCCUGAUCGUCUCCUGCCUUGUGUGUCAACGCCAGUUCGCGAUCGAGGAAAACUCCAGGGUCAUGGUAGCUUGUCUUCGGGUGAGUGAAUAGCCUUGGCAGAACUCAUUUGCGGACUGUUUCUUUCGUGUCUGGUUGCAGUGUCUUUGGCACCUUGGAGAUCUCGGCUUGGCCUGCCACAGUCGGGUGACCCAGGUGACUUGGGCAUUUCCCUGACGCAAAGACGAUGACUAAAUGGUUCUAUUCGACCCG
rnacentral:rRNA from 1 species